rnacentral:rRNA from 1 species
GAUGAACGCUGGCGGCGUGCCUAAUACAUGCAAGUCGAGCGAACAGAUGAGGAGCUUGCUCCUCUGACGUUAGCGGCGGACGGGUGAGUAACACGUGGAUAACCUACCUAUAAGACUGGGAUAACUUCGGGAAACCGGAGCUAAUACCGGAUAAUAUAUUGAACCGCAUGUUUCAAUAGUGAAAGACGGUUUUGCUGUCACUUAUAGAUGGAUCCGCGCCGCAUUAGCUAGUUUGUAAGGUAACGGCUUACCAAGGCAACGAUGCGUAGCCGACCUGAGAGGGUGAUCGGCCACACUGGAACUGAGACACGGUCCAGACUCCUACGGGAGGCAGCAGUAGGGAAUCUUCCGCAAUGGACGAAAGCCUGACGGAGCAACGCCGCGUGAGUGAUGAAGGUCUUCGGAUCGUAAAACUCUGUUAUUAGGGAAGAACAAAUGUGUAAGUAACUAUGCACGUCUUGACGGUACCUAAUCAGAAAGCCACGGCUAACUACGUG